ensembl:lncRNA
CACAGACUCUCAACACAGCCCCAGUCCUGAAGCAGACCCAGGUGGUGUUUGCCAGGAAUUUCCUAAGCAGCUCAUGGUUGUGUGCGCUCCUGUGCGGGGCUGCUUGGCUUCUAACUUCAAGUACUUCUUAUGAACGCUGAUUCUUUGGCGGUGAGAUGUUGUAACGAUCACUGUAAACGGGCGCUAUUAACAUAUUUCAACCUUCUCGUCUAUUUUGAACUUGUUCUCCCUAUUGGGCUCUUCAUAAAACUACAGUGUUAUUUCCUAUACCAGCUGAAAGAGCCGCUGAGUUCAGAAAUGGAUGUGAAGCGUCCCCAAACCUCCAACACUGUUUCUG